CUGUGAAUUUCGGAGUGAGUCACCUAUAGAGACGAUCUCGGUUACGCGAUGGACUCGUUUUUCGAUCCAACAACGACGAAAGACGAUCGGGAAAUCCAAGAAGUUAUGAUUAAUCUGUGGGUAUCUUUCGCACAGAACGGCAAACCUGAUCUGAGUGUCGGAUGGAACGAGUUGAGCAAAAGUGACGACAGUUUUAGUUACCUGAGAAUAGCAGGACCGAAAGAUCUUUACAUGGAAAACAACGAAAACUUUGGGCAAAAGAAUUUUUGGCUCGGUAUAGAUUUUCGUGAAAAUACUUGGUAAAAUAGCUACACU